UAAUACGAAGGGGGCUAGCGUUGCUCGGAAUUACUGGGCGUAAAGCGCACGUAGGCGGCUCUUUAAGUCGGGGGUGAAAUCCUGGAGCUCAACUCCAGAACUGCCUUCGAUACUGAAGAGCUCGAGUCCGGGAGAGGUGAGUGGAACUGCGAGUGUAGAGGUGAAAUUCGUAGAUAUUCGCAAGAACACCAGUGGCGAAGGCGGCUCACU
rnacentral:rRNA from 1 species